CACUGAGGCCUCACUGACUCUCCUGGAGGGAGCCUGCAAAGCAGGCUCAGAAGGGACUCCCAGCCAGGACAGGGACAGGUUGCUCUUCCCCGUAGAGGCUUGUGUCAAUGACACACAAGAAAUGGCAACUGCGGUGCGGCUCUCGGUAGUGUUGGCCAUGAAGACAGGUGCAUGUGGGAGCUGGAAGUGAGCUGCAAUCCACAUGGAUUUCCUCCUGAGAAUAAGCAACACCAUCUGAGCUUCUGAACUCUCUUAGUCCACGGGCUUCACCCACAGCGACCACCAUCCAGAGCCGCUCUUGGGACAAUGUGAAGAAGCAGAAGGGACUGGAGAAGCGUGGAUGAUUUCAGCCAAUGAAAUUGCUUUCCACGUGGCUGGUCAACUGAACCUCCUGUGAACUAGUCUUGACUGCUUUGUCUUCACCCUGAUCAAGGCUAUCAACAGAUUCCUGUUAGCCCUGCCCCUGCCUCCCCUCCCACCGCCUCUGGCUGUGUUUGAAGCCAUCAUUUCACGCCUUCUACCACAAGCUUGUUCCUCAGCAUCAUCUUCUUUUCCCUCCACCACUGAAGGAGACUGCCAGAUGGUCUCACCUCUGUCAACUGUCCAGAUGCACAAAGAAGCCCUUCAUUUAAAAAGUUAAAUCUUUAUUUUAAUUAUUUACUUCCUUAUAUAUACAAUUAUUUAUUAAAAAGUUAAGCAUUGAUUGUGUGUUGGCUCUGUGCACAUGAGUGCAGAUGCACGUGAAGACCAGAAGAGGGUGCUGGUGUUCCUGAAGCUGGAGUCCCUACAACUGUCGCUCCUGUUGUGCCUUUUGCUCGGAAUUCUUUUGACAGUCAAACAAAAAGAGGAGCCAUUAGAGUCUAAAAAAGGAGUUUCAAUUUGGUCUCAUUUUAGAAGUCAUAAAGACUUUCAAUUCCAUCCACUUACUCAUGAAUAGAUUUAUUUGUGGAUGGUGACUAUCAAAAGUGGAAGAGGUUGGGGCUGGAAGGAUGGCUUGGAGGUUGAGAGUGCUGGCUGUUCUUCCAAAGGUCCUGGGUUCAAUUCCCAGCAACUACAUGGUGGCUCACAAACUCCUUAAUGAAACCUGGUGCCCUCUUCUGUCCUGUAGGCAUACGUGCAGACAGAAUGGUGUAUACAUAAUAAAUAGAUCUUUAAAAAAAAAGUGGAAGAGGUUAGUAUUAAGAAGUCUUGAUCAGGGGGCUGGAGAGAUGGCUCAACAGUUAAGAGCCCUGGCUGUUCUUCCAGAGGUCCUGGGUUCAAUUCCCAGCAACCAC
rnacentral:lncRNA from 1 species